rnacentral:lncRNA from 1 species
UGGCACGUACCUGGGACAGGAGCCCAGAUCUUCGGAUAUUUUAAUUUCAACCCUCCCUCCCCCUAUUUUUGGAUAUCCUCUUGACAAAUCACUUUAACAGUUUUAUUUACAGUAAUAAAAAUAAAUUACUCUUACAGAUGAAUGUAUAAUAUUAUACACAAUAGAGAUACAGUGCAAUAACAGCAUUUUUUUUUCUCACUCGUUCAUAAAGUGCAUCGAAGGGGCUUGAUUUAACCAGAAUUGAAUGAUAACUGUACAUUUUUCAUUGAGAUCAACUUUCCCAGUCGAGGUUAAUGAAAACACAUCAAAAUAAGUUGCUGUUCUGAUUGCUGUGCAAUGGCCUUGUUCCUGCAGAAGCAGAUAGGACUGGGAAUAGCAGGAUUGGAAAUGGGGAUAAUCAACUCCCUCCAUGCUAGAGGGUUCACUCUCUAGGGAGGAUGCUGUCUUUCCUGCCUGGGGCCUGAGUCUGACCUACUCAAAAGGGACAUCAGGAACAAGCCCACUCCUCAUCACUCUCUACAUGAUGUAAAGGAAAAGCAAAGCAGAGCCAAGAGCCUGCUGCAGCAGACUCAAAGGGACUCCUGCUUUGCCACCAGUGGCCAGCACUACCUCUCAUCCUAGAUACUGCCCAGUUAGAAAAGAGCCUUUCCUGGGACAAGCCAGAUGUUUUCCAGCUCCCAGAUCCUGCGAUAAGGCCAUAAACCUGUGCUUGUGAUUUCAGUGUCUGUUGAUACAAUGUGCUGCCAGACAUCCAGCAUCCUGCGUGCUGCAGCUUGCUCAAAUUGUGAAGGAAUAACCUUGCUUUAGACACAAUUCCGCUUCAUAUCAGGCAGGAUUUGUGAAGGCAACUAUUACCCUUGGGGUUGGAAACAAUUUCUUCCCAUCCCUCAAAGCCAGGGACAAAAAAGAGCUUUGGACCACCCAUUCUUAUUUGGGUCUUUGCUGAAAAUCCAUUUUAUCCUUAUAAUGUUCUGUAUUGCAGAGUUUUCCAAUGGGAAUGGGAAAGUUCCAUUCCUAUGGACGCAGGGACAGUAGGAAGGGUGGCUCUCAGGGGAUUUUGCAAUAGGCAACUGCUUUGUUAACAGAAAAGGUACAAAUGAUACAUGCGAAGUCAUCAGCUUGACCACCUCACUGAGAGGAAAGGUUGCACGUGAAUGAAUGCAAGUACAAAGAAAUACCAUGUGCAUUGAACAGUUAUUCCCGACAAUUAAAAGUGAGCUGUUAAUUCAUUGUUAACAAUUACGUGAGUCAUCAAUGCUGGUCAGUACACAUCAAUACAAGUGAUUACCAAGAUCAACAUCUUUUUCAAGACGUCCCCACCCCAAUUUUGAUGCUCUACAAGAAAGAGGUACUUCAUCACCUACUGAGAACAGUAAUGGUUUCUUGGGGUUUUAGUCAAAGUUCAAUUAAAAAUCUGCUUAAGAUGAACAAAUUGUGGCUGCCACAUCAGGACUGAGAUCCUUGUGAUAUUUACUGCUGGUUACUGAAAUUAAGUUGGUUAAAAAGAGGCGUUUUCAUGGCUCAAAGUCCCAAACUGAACAAAACGGGACAAAACUGGACAAAACCAAACCCUUUUGUUGGCAGAGUCUAUACAUUUCAUCAGCCUUUUUAAAAAUAUCAUUUCUCAGUUGAAACACGCUGGGACAGGGAAAAGAUCUUGUUGUAAACACGCAAGCUCACACUCACCCCUAAUACAGCUCCAUGAAACUCAGGGCAUUCAUGCAGCUGUGGUUUUGUCCCAUCCAGUGAUGUCCCUGGCCUUUUCACAGUAUAUUUGAGGAAUGUUUUCUCUUUUCUUUCUCCUCCUCACCCUAUUCUCAUCCCCUCGACUAAAACAGCCACUACUGACACAGAAAGCAUUUCAUACCUAUGUUAUGCUUGCAACUCAUGGUAGAAAAGCCAAAGACCAGCAGAAACCUAUGAAUAAAUAAGCAAAUAAGCAUUGGAUUAAUUUCUGUGGCUACACUGAUAUUUGUCAUAGGGUUGGUUAGAUACCACAUGUAAUUGUUCAGAACCAAUGUUCAGAACCAAUUGUUCAGAACAAUGUGCUUGUUCUGCUGCUGGAGAUGUAGAUCAGCUCCUGUAGGGCCCAGAAGGUCCCUGGCCCUUCAUCUUUUAUCAAAAGCUAUUUGCAAAGCCCAGUUUUUGAAGGUACAAUGGCAAGAUCUGGGCCAUUCACCAGGACGAGGACAUGGAGGUCUUCCCAAAUCAAGCUCUGACCAUCCCUCUCCAAGCAGGCCCAGUUUCCACCUGGAGUGGCCAUAGGAGGAUUCAAUGUGUUGGAAAACCCCUUCUGUUUUGCAGUGUUCCUCUCAUUGUUGGUACCCCAUCCACAUGUGAUACCAUUACAUUCAUGGGAGCUGCUCCUUACUUUUGGCAACACAACCUCAUCCAAAGUCAGGCUCUGUAUUCUGUACUAAACGUGUCCCAAAGCCAGUACUGAAGGACACCAAACACCAGGGCACUCCCACCCUGCACACAGCAUCGCUAACUUGACAGAUAUUUUAAGGUCUUAAGUUAGGUCUCCUGAUGUCCAACAUAAGGAGGCUCCAACAUCCAACAUCCUCACUGAUAUCCAACAUUGUCACACAAAACUUCCUCCAGUAAAAGAAACGAACCACACCAAACAAACAACACCAAAGCAAAUGUGCAGUAAAAUGGUCAGAGAUUUCUGCAGCGCAGUGAAUGGCAGGGAGCUUCUACCUGUUCAUCUUCUUCCUCACUUCACCUUGUUUUCCUCUCUUUCACUGAUAAAAAAGGAGAGGAAAACCCGCAAAGGAAAAAUCACCUAGAAAAUGCAUUUCUUUUUAUUUAAUGGAAAGACUGCAAAAAGCCAAUUUAUCAACAUUUCUUUAGAGAUCUCUUGAGACUUUGCCUGAAGCUUACCAAGUGUUUUAACAACCUCCAUGGCCACCUUUAACAGACUCCAAGAGAAGGAUCCUAGACCAUCACUUAAAAAUAUUAGAUUAGCAUUUUAUACUAAAUCUGAGCACACAGAAUACUUGUGCCACAUCUUGAUACUGACUGUGAGUUGGAUUAGUGCAGCAGAAUAAAAGUCUCCUUAGUGCAAGGACCAGAUGUCACUUGGCCUGUGUCAAAGUUGCUGUACAUGUGUUUGGGUGAGCACCAAGCAUUUCAGUGAGGACAUCUCCACCUUCUCUCUGACUUCACUAUCUGGUAGGGGCUGUAUCCUCAGCUUUAGCUCCUCACAGCCCAAAUCUUUCUCCUAUUGCUGUGGAGGGAAAUGAUUUUACAUCGACCCUUGUAUGCCUUUGUUAGAGCUUAUCAAUAGAUCCCUCAAACUGAGACAAGUUUCAAGUAUACACUUAAACUCUAAAAAGAACAUGGUUAAAAUCAAAACCUUCAGCAACAGGAAAUUGACUGGAAAGCCAAGAAAAUGCAACUUUUUCAUGUCAAGGUUUCUCUAGAGCUGAUUAGUCAAUACUACACUUCAUUUAAAGAUACAAAAUGAGCUGCCCAGGGAAACAAAUGCUGUCUUCUAGAGAGGGUUGUAUAAAAAUGUUUUAAAAUGUUCAUAAUCUCUCAAAAAUGGUCUAAACUAACUGUGCCUUGAGUUUUCACACUGAGAAACUGCAGGGACCUGGCUGUCAGAAACCAGAGAAAUAAAAUGAGCAGAGAAAAGUAUUUCUACAUAUAUUAUUCUUUCUUAUAUAUAUAUUUACUUUAAAACAUACGCUGAUCCAACAUGGUGCCUACUGCCCAUUGCCCAAGGUAUUCAAAUGAGAGAAAUGAAAACAAAGAGACAGGCCACCUUUCAAAGGUACGCAGUAAGUCCAAGCCCCAGGCACGCUUUGGAGAUCCAUAGCUUUCCCAUGUGCACUUAGCUUUGAGGAGCAAGAAAUUCAUUGCACAGACCCACAGAGAAAACACAGUUGUGUCUGUGUCGAGCCAUAAACUGGCUUUGUAUGCACUACAACCUCACAAAGUAGGGGUACUUCUGUUUUCCACAGCAUUCCCCUGAACACACUUGUUUUGGUGGUGGCAGUGCCAUUGGAUGGUGUUGCUAGGAACCUUGGUCUGUGAUGCCCAUGGUGCAGCAGAACCCAGCUCCUGCUUUGAAGAUGGGCAUUUUGGAUGCUGGAGAUUACAGCAUCUUUAAAGGAAAGCAACGUAUUUGUGACACCACUGGUAGGGGUCUCCUGCCUCAACCAUUGAGCUGCUACUGCACUGGGCCCCAGAGCAGCACCCAGCACCUGAGCACUCUGAGCCACCCCAGAUGCUUCUCCCCAAGCCCUGCCAUCUCUCUGAAGGUUGCUGGGUUUCUUGCUUGCUUUUUAAGUGAACACACUAUGCCACUUCUCAGCCAAAAGAAAGCACAAGGUAAAGGACACUUCAUCAUGGUCUCACUAACACACAAAGCACAUGACACAGCAGAGGAAUGUGAGGGUGCUUUAGCUUCUCCGAUGAAGCAAAUUAAACUGGUAGCAUCCGGAAUAACACGUGUGAUUACAGAGGCUUCCCUCUAGGGGACCCCAGCAAGCCUGGACCCGUCUUUGGAUGAAAAUCCCCCCCCCGUAAACGAUCCGUGUGGAAGCGAGCGCAGCCGGGGGAGCGCAUCACCGCACGGCCCC